rnacentral:rRNA from 1 species
GAUGAACGCUGGCGGCGUGCUUAACACAUGCAAGUCGAGCGAAGCACUUAAGUUUGAUUCUUCGGAUGAAGACUUUUGUGACUGAGCGGCGGACGGGUGAGUAACGCGUGGGUAACCUGCCUCAUACAGGGGGAUAACAGUUAGAAAUGGCUGCUAAUACCGCAUAAGACCACAGUACUGCAUGGUACAGUGGUAAAAACUCCGGUGGUAUGAGAUGGACCCGCGUCUGAUUAGGUAGUUGGUGAGGUAACGGCCCACCAAGCCGACGAUCUUUAGCUGGUCUGAGAGGAUGAUCAGCCACACUGGGACUGAGACACGGCCCAG